CAUACCAUCUGAAAAUGUUUAAAACGGUCUUCUUUAUAGCCGCCUGCCUCACGAGGGUCCGGCCGCUCUGCCAGCGCCGCUGCGGGGGAGAAAUGCUGCCUAGCACGGCUUAACUGAGAAAUGAGCACCCGAUGUCCCGAUCCGAUGUUCUUACAGACAUUUAUUAACUCAAACGUAUUUAUACAUCGCAAAUAGCAUUGGUAUAAGACAAAUGAUGCGACUGCAAGUGUUUUAAAGUUCACCUACCUCCUAUUUAAAGUUUUCGUAAGGCUUUUCGUCUUCACGAGUCUUCCCGCCGGUCCGUCAGCCGCGUCGCGUUGAAAAAAUAUCCAAUUAAAGGGUAGAUAAAAGCAGCAUUAACUCGGCUAAUAUAAAAUUAAAUAUAAAUCUUACUUUGAUAGAUUAGGCCUAGAGUUUAUCCAUUGACACGCAGGUGCCCGUAAUAUAUAGCCCAAAUGUGGCCCACGUGGGACCCACAAAUAAACAAUAAUUGGCAACCUAACUGGGGCCCACAGUUUUAUCCAAGCUGGGGCCCAUAUUCAGCCCAUCAAAGUGCCCACUCUGAGCCCAUGCCCAGUUGAUGCCCAUAUAGCCAGAUAAAUCCCACAUGGGGCCCACAUGGACAUGUUGGCUGGGAUACUGUAUCUGGUUUUUGUUAUUCUUUAUAGUUCUUCGUUUUUUUAGGUUCAAGUUUGUGGAUCUUAUCGUCUGAAACGUCGAGGGUGUAUUUUGGAGCCAUCGUGAUUACAUCAGCUGAUUUUAGUCUAUUGGUAAUGUCACCUGCAACGGAGGUGUUUUGGACUCUUUUCUUGUGAUUGCAUCGUAGAGGUGGUAACAACAGUUUGUGGUCUGGAUCAUGUCAUCUGCAUUCCAGCUGGAGGCUUUUUUUGUGAUUGCCAUUGUAACAGGGAUAACAUCAACUGGUCACUGUAGCCACCAGAUCCAGUCCGUAUCCAGAUCAGAUGGUGGAUCAGCACCUAGAGACGACUUCUACAGCCCUGAACGUCAGCGGAGACCGGGACACAUAGAUGAGCCCCAGAGACAGAUCCCCAGUGAAGACCUCAUCUCCUAGAUGGCAAUCGGGACAGGACCACGGGAACCAGAUGAGUCCUCUGCACAAACUGACUCUGCUGCAGCAUGGAACAACCUGCUGGGUCAUUCUGAGAAUCAAACCCCGGAUGGCACAAAAUGCCAUCAGAGUCACAGAUCAGAUGGAAUUCUGGAAAGACGGUGCAAAGAAAAAGCAUCAGCCUGAAUCCCCUCAUGGUGUUUCUCAUCAGAGAGCUUGUCAACUUUGCCAAAAUUACUGAAGUUUAACUUUUACUGUACUAAUUUUUACUGUAUUUUAUUUCUGUGAAGUCUGUUUUGCCAUGCUGCAGAUACAAAG